rnacentral:lncRNA from 10 species
GACCUGGACCUCCAAGAGGGAGAUGGUGGCUCUGUAAGCCAUUUUCUAGUGGCUCCAGUGGAAUUUGUUCCAAGAGAGUGGGAGUUACAAGGAUGCAAAAGGACCAAGGCCACUAUUCGGAGAGUCUAACAGAGGAGUUUAGCACUCUUGGAGGAAAGAAGGAAGUCAAGACUUAGCAGCCGAGGAGAACCAGCUGGUGUUUUGACAAUCUGUGGAGACCCAUGGGGAGGGAGGACUGGGGGAGAGCAUGCUGAGUUCCACGGGGGAACCCAGCAGUAGUCAUUCCAGAAAGGAGAUAUGAAAGCUGAAUCCCUAGGAAUCUGGAGCCUCCUGUCCACCUUCGCAGCACUGGGUGGCCUGGAAGUGAAGUCAUCGUCCUGAGUUCCUGACCUGCUGGUGUCUGGUCAGGAAUCACUGAAGUUGAGGAGAUCAAGGUCAUCAACAAUGGUUUUUAUGAAGAACACUUGAGUUGCUGGGCGCAGUGGCUCAUGCCUGUAAUCCCAACACUUUGGGAGGCUGAGGUGGGAGGAUCAUUUGAGCCCAGGAGAUUGAGAUCAACCUGGGCAAUAUAGUAAGACCCCCAUCUCGAAAAAAAUUAAAAUUAGCCAGGUGCAGUGGUGAACACCUGUAGUUCAAGCUACUCAGGAGGUUCAUUUCUACCAAGGUGCAAGGGGCUGGUUAAAAUAAAAGAGGCUUUAAGGGAAAGGAAGUUCCAAUAUGUCAAUCUGAGGGUUGUGAGCAGACAGAGAAGGUGCAGCUCACCACUGGGGCUUGGUGAGGAGGCAGGAGGAUCACUUGAGCCCAGGAGUUGGAGGCUGCAGUAAGCUGUGAUUGCACCACUGCACUCCGUUAUUCUCCUGACACUUUGUCCUCCAUCAUAUUAUCACUCACGCUUGGAUUAGGCUGUGGAAAUGGGGACUUGCAACAUUGGAGGGAAAACCUUAAAACUGUCAAGGAUAAUUUAUCCGUAGCUCACCAGGAAGGCCCCCAGGAAGAUAAACUGUCCACAGGGGUCCCUUGUGGCACAUUCUUUUUUCCCUGCUGUUUUCUACCUUCAGCAUUUUUUUCCUGCCCAUCAACUGUCUUAUUCUUCCAAUCUCCAUGGGGUGCAUCUCCAUUUUCCUUUUGAGAAAUCUAUUAGGUUGGUGCAAAACUAAUUGUGGUUUUUGUCAUUAGAAGUAAUGCCGUUUGGCUGGGUGUGGUGGCUCAUGCCUGUAAUCCCAGCACUUUAGGAGUCAGAUGUGGGCAGAUCACUUGAGGUCAGGAGUUCGAGAUCAGCCUGGCCAACAUGGCAAAACCCCGUCUUUACUAAAAAUACAACAAUUAGCCAGGAAUGGUGGUGUGCACCUGUAAUCCCAGCUACUCAGGAGGCUGAGGCAGUAGAAACGCUUGAAGCCAGGAGGUGGAGGUUGCAGUGAGCCAAGAUUGUGCCAUUGCACUCCAGCCUGGGUGACAGAGCGAGCCUCUGUCUCAAAAAAAAAAAAAAAAAAAAGUAAUGCCAUUAAAAGUAAUGGCAAAAACUGCAAUUAGUUUUGCACCAAACUAAUAUCUCCCUAUCCUCAGGGAAAUCUCUGAAUCUUAAGAUCCAUUACUACUUUCCUCUAUCCUACCCCAGAGGUGCAUUGAUCCAACAGUAGCUCAUUAAAUUCAUGAUAACACCUAGUUCAGGGAAACUACUGCUUCUGCUAUCCCAAGGCAGAAAAACCACAGAUGCCCCACGUGGGUCUCAGGCAAGUUCAUGCCACAUCCCUUCUCUAAGUUCUCUGUGCAGGUCUAUUUCUGGACAGGUGUCUAAGUCCACUAUGCUCAUUUUCCCUCAUUAUCACCAUCAUCAUGGCUGUUUGUCACUCUGCUCCUACACGUCAGGCACUGUAAAAUACAUUCUUCCACUGCUUCCACUGCACAUUAGACAUCAUCAGCCCCGUUUUGCAGAGGAGCAAAUGAAAGCAUAGAGAGAGCAUACAAUUUGUCCAAGGACACCCAGCUAAUAUGUGGGAGCUGUGAUUUGAAUCAAGUUCUUCCAUCUGAAGUCAAGGCUGUUCUGGAGUUUCAGUUUUGUGGAGGCUAGAGAGGAGAUGGCUUAUAAGCAAAUGCUCUAGGAGUAUAAGAAGGACACAGCAGGUGACUGGCAGAAUCUUGCCUUCACUUGGAAAAUCAGGAGACCUGGAUUUUAGUCAAAGUUUUAUUGAACUCCCAAUUUUUCUUUUCAUCAUCUACAAAAUGCCCAAAUUCCUAUCUAAGGGAUCUGGGGAGUCAUGCCCUACAAACCAUAAAUUCUCAUCAGAUUGGUUUUACUUAACACUAUAUAUCAUAACUUGCUUUCCAAUAUGACUCUGUCAUAACAUUAUGUGAUAAAGAAGAAAAUCAAAAUAUUUUACCCCAAACAUGUUUCUUUCACAUAUUUUGAAAUGGCCCUGCAAAGCUGUCCUUUGUGGGGGAAAAUUUGCAUCUGUAAAGACUCUCUAACAUAGCUAGAUCUUUUUCUUCUAGGCCCUCCCAAUCCUGAAGAGAUUAACUACUGGGGGAACCAGCCCCCAAUAUUUCAACAUAGAUUCUUUUCUACUUUCCCUAAGUGUCAGCCAGUCUGAGAAAUAAAGAGAAAGAGUACAAAGAGAGAAAUUUUAAAGCUGGGCCUCCCAGGGUGUCAUCACAUAUUGGUAGGACUGUGAUGGUGACCUCAAGCUGCAAAACCAGCAAGUUUUUAUUAGGGAUUUUGAAAGGGGAGGAGGUGUACAAACACGGAGUAGGUCACAAGGAUCACAUGCUUCAACGGGCCAUAAAGAUCACAAGGUGAAGGCAAAAUUAGAAUUACUGAUGAGGGUCUGUGUCCCGCUGUGCAUGCACUGUCUUGAUAAACAUCUUAACAGGAAAUAGGGUUCGAGAGCAGAGAACCAGUCUGACUAGAAUUCACCAGGCUGGUAUUUCCCAAUCCUAGCAAGCCUGAGGGCACUGCAGGAGACCAGGGCGUAUUUCAAUCCUUAUCUCAACCGCAUAAGACAGACACUCCCACAGCGGCCGUUCAUAGACCUACCCCCAGGAAUGCAUUCCUUCCCCAGGGCUAUUCCUUGCUGGGAAAAGAAUUCAGCAAUAUUUCUCCUACACACUUUCUGCAAGAAGAAAAAUAUGGCUGUAUUCUGCCUGACCCCGCAACAAUUAACUAAGAAUCUAGCACCUUUUAAAGAUCUGAAUAGGAAGCACUUGUCAUCUAUUGUCUCUAAGGGCAGCCACUAUGAGAGUUUAAAAGAACCUUGGUCUCCACAAUCUUUUAUCUCACCCUGAACAUUUCCUUUCUAUUGAUUCCAGGUCUUUAGACAAACUCAACCCAUUGUCAUCCAAAAAAUGUUUAAAUUUGCCUAUAGCCUGGAAGUCUCCCUCCCCUCAUCCCCCUGCCCUGUCCCCUCUCCCUCUUCCCCCUCCCCCUUUCCCUUCCCCUCUCCCCCACUUUGAGUUGUCCUGCCUUUUUGAACAAAACCAAUGUAUUUCUGAAAUGUAUUUGAUUGAUGUUUCACGCCUCCUUAAAAUGUGUAAAACCAAGCUGUGCCCUGACCACCCUGAGCACUUGGAGAGCUUUGUCACGGGCCAUGGUCAUCAUAUUUGGCUCAGAAUAAAUCUGUUCAAAUAUUUUACAGACUUUGACUCUUCAACAACACUUUUUAGCAACACAAAUGGAUGAAGAAGAUAAGACUUGAAUUCAAUCUGGAGUCUGCAGCCUGGCUAAGCUGACCCACAGCCUGGAGCAGAGAACUGGUCAGCUGACUGACUCUUUGCUAAUCCCUAAGAGAGAAACUGAGAUGGUUGCCCACAGGUGGUGAUUCCUGAGAGGCUGGGGCAGAAAGUGACGGGCAUCCUGACAGCAGAAAACUGAAGGACCUUCAUGAAACCAUCCUCCACAUCACAAAGGUAAGACACGCCUUUUGCCUUCUGCCUUCCGCCAUACUUGUGAGGCCUCCCCAGCCAUGUGAAACUGUGAGGCUGGAACUACGCUCACCACAUGGACAGGCGUGAUCUCUGUACAUAUGAGCCAACACAGUUACAUGACUGGAUGCCUCCUC